CCUACGGGUGGCAGCAGUGAGGAAUAUUGGUCAAUGGACGCAAGUCUGAACCAGCCAUGCCGCGUGCAGGAAGACGGCUCUAAGAGUUGUAAACUUCUUUUGUACGAGGGCAAACGCAGAUACGUGUCUCUGUCUGAAAGUACCGUACGAAAAAGGAUCGGCUAACUCCGUGCCAGCAGCCGCGGUAAUACGGAGGAUGCGAGCGUUAUCCGGAUUUAUUGGGUUUAAAGGGUGCGCAGGCGGUAGUGUAAGUGAGAGGUUAAAUCCCGGGGCCCAACUUCGGAGUUGCCUUUGAUCCUGUUCGGCUCGAGAGUAGUUGCAGUAGGCGGAAUGUAUGGUGUAGCGGUGAAAUGCUUAGAGAU
rnacentral:rRNA from 1 species